GUGGGCGUAGCUCAGGCGGUUAGAGCACUAGGUUGUGGCCCUAGAGGCCGGGGGUUCAAGUCCCCUCGCUCACCCCA
rnacentral:tRNA from 1 species